UACGUAGGGUGCAAGCGUUAAUCGGAAUUACUGGGCGUAAAGCGUGCGCAGGCGGUUCGUCGUGUCCGAUGUGAAAGCCCCGGGCUCAACCUGGGAAUGGCAUUGGAAACUGGCGGACUCGAGUGUGGCAGAGGGGGGUGGAAUUCCGCGUGUAGCAGUGAAAUGCGUAGAGAUGCGGAGGAACACCGAUGGCGAAGGCAGCCCCCUGGGCUAACACUGACGCUCAGGCACGAAAGCGUGGGGAGCAAACAGG
rnacentral:rRNA from 2 species